rnacentral:rRNA from 1 species
UGAACGCUGGCGGCGUGCCUAAUACAUGCAAGUCGAACGAGUUCUGAUUAUUGAAAGGUGCUUGCAUCUUGAUUUUAAUUUUGAACGAGUGGCGGACGGGUGAGUAACACGUGGGUAACCUGCCCUUAAGUGGGGGAUAACAUUUGGAAACAGAUGCUAAUACCGCAUAAAUCCAAGAACCGCAUGGUUCUUGGCUGAAAGAUGGCGUAAGCUAUCGCUUUUGGAUGGACCCGCGGCGUAUUAGCUAGUUGGUGAGGUAACGGCUCACCAAGGCAAUGAUACGUAGCCGAACUGAGAGGUUGAUCGGCCACAUUGGGACUGAGACACGGCCCAAACUCCUACGGGAGGCAGCAGUAGGGAAUCUUCCACAAUGGACGCAAGUCUGAUGGAGCAACGCCGCGUGAGUGAAGAAGGCCUUCGGGUCGUAAAACUCUGUUGUUGGAGAAGAAUGGUCGGCAGAGUAACUGUUGUCGGCGUGACGGUAUCCAACCAGAAAGCCACGGCUAACUACGUGCCAGCAGCCGCGGUAAUACGUAGGUGGCAAGCGUUAUCCGGAUUUAUUGGGCGUAAAGCGAGCGCAGGCGGUUUUUUAAGUCUGAUGUGAAAGCCCUCGGCUUAACCGAGGAAGUGCAUCGGAAACUGGGAAACUUGAGUGCAGAAGAGGACAGUGGAACUCCAUGUGUAGCGGUGAAAUGCGUAGAUAUAUGGAAGAACACCAGUGGCGAAGGCGGCUGUCUGGUCUGUAACUGACGCUGAGGCUCGAAAGCAUGGGUAGCGAACAGGAUUAGAUACCCUGGUAGUCCAUGCCGUAAACGAUGAAUGCUAGGUGUUGGAGGGUUUCCGCCCUUCAGUGCCGCAGCUAACGCAUUAAGCAUUCCGCCUGGGGAGUACGACCGCAAGGUUGAAACUCAAAGGAAUUGACGGGGGCCCGCACAAGCGGUGGAGCAUGUGGUUUAAUUCGAAGCAACGCGAAGAACCUUACCAGGUCUUGACAUCUUUUGAUCACCUGAGAGAUCAGGUUUCCCCUUCGGGGGCAAAAUGACAGGUGGUGCAUGGUUGUCGUCAGCUCGUGUCGUGAGAUGUUGGGUUAAGUCCCGCAACGAGCGCAACCCUUAUGACUAGUUGCCAGCAUUUAGUUGGGCACUCUAGUAAGACUGCCGGUGACAAACCGGAGGAAGGUGGGGAUGACGUCAAAUCAUCAUGCCCCUUAUGACCUGGGCUACACACGUGCUACAAUGGAUGGUACAACGAGUUGCGAGACCGCGAGGUCAAGCUAAUCUCUUAAAGCCAUUCUCAGUUCGGACUGUAGGCUGCAACUCGCCUACACGAAGUCGGAAUCGCUAGUAAUCGCGGAUCAGCACGCCGCGGUGAAUACGUUCCCGGGCCUUGUACACACCGCCCGUCAUACCAUGAGAGUUUGUAACACCCGAAGCCGGUGGCGUAACCCUUUUAGGGAGCGAGCCGUCUAAGGUGGGACAAAUGAUUAGGGU